rnacentral:rRNA from 1 species
UGCCAGCCGCCGCGGUAAUACGGAGGGGGCAAGCGUUAAUCGGAAUUACUGGGCGUAAAGGGCACGUAGGUGGCCAAUUAAGUCAGAUGUGAAAUACCUGGGCUCAACCUAGGCACUGCAUUUGAAACUGGUAGGCUAGAGUAUGGUAGAGGGAAGUGGAAUUUCCGGUGUAGCGGUGAAAUGCGUAGAUAUCGGAAGGAACACCAGUGGCGAAGGCGACUUUCUGGACCAAUACUGACACUGAGGUGCGAAAGCGUGGGUAGCGAACAGGAUUAGAUA